UAAAAAUGACUUAACAGAUAUUAACGCAUAGAAGUAACUUCCGUUAACAGAAAAGCAAACUUUUCUGGGGAUUUCUGCGGCGUUGGUUUCUGUAACCUGGAGUUGGAAUUUCUGCAAACUUAAUGAAGUGAAAAUUACCCAUUCUUGUCGUGGAAAUCUUGUAUCUGGAGAACCAAUAGCUGAAGCAGCAGCACUAAUUAAAGCUCCUCCAUUUCUUCCAUUAUUAUUAUUUACACCUCCAUUGUUAUUAUUACCAGGCAUACUCAUUUUCCCUCACAUUUUCCGGAUCUGUAACCCUAAUUACUUACAAUGAGAAUUGAAUUCAACAAUAUACCAAGAGAUCUGUGAUUCCAAAAAUUCAAAUCAAAGUACAAAACACAGAAAAAAUGUGUUUGUUUUCAAGUUGAAAAGCUAGUGAAGAUCAAGAUAGUAGUGUGUGUUGAAGCUAAGAGUAUGUGAAAAAUGUGUUGUAGAGAGAGAAAAAGUAAGAAGUAGAGAGAGAGAGAGAGAGAGUGAGAAGGGGCGUAGGAUAAGAAGAAGAAUUGAAGAAGAAGGUGCAGAGCGAGAGAAAGAAAAAACGUUAUGCCGCCUCGAAUCGGACUUUUAUUUCUUUGUCAUCCAGAUGGGCAGAGAUGAAGACAGGUUCUCCAAAGUAAGUAAUUUAGUUACAGAGUAUUUUUUUUUUCCCUUCAAUUAAGCUUUCGCUUAAGAAUUUUUGUGAAAAAAUUAUAGAUGUGGAAACAAAAUUGGACUGAAUUACCUGAGGAACUCUAAGGAAUUAUAGCUGAAAAGUUAAAUUUUCAAAAGAUUUUAUAAGAUUUGGUGCAGUUUGUCAUCAAUGGAGAUCUGCUACUCUUGCACUUAAUAAGCGCCUUUUGUGUCUAAAAUCUUUUCCAUGGUUAAUGCUUCCUGCUGAUGAUGAAGAGCAAGAUGACGACAAUUGAUGUUUCUUUAUUCUUUUUGAAAAGAAAAUUUGCACUAUAAAUCUACUUGAAGCUCGUGGAUGUCAUUGUUGGGGUUCUCCUUAUGGUUGGUUGGUUACUUUUGGUUUUGACCAACAAUUUCAUCUUUUAAAUCCUUUGAAUCGCAUUCGUCUUCCAUUUCCACAAUCGAUCAACUUCUGUAAAUUGGUAGGUGAAGUAAAUUUUACGUUUUCGGUUUUCAAAUUUUUAUUUUCGAGGGGUUUAGGCAAAUAGGAGUUCUGUUAACGGAGUUAACAUCCGUUAGUAAACUUCUUUUAAUGAUAAAUUAGGGGGUUUACUCAAAUACGAGGGGUCAGGGGUAAACUGGGCAAUACAAGGUCUAAUUUUGGGGGUUGGGGGGUUAACGCCAAAAAUGGACAAAUGAGGGGGUUCUUGCCAAGAGUGACCAUAAUGUGGGGGGUUAUCGCCAAUUUUCCCUAAAAUCCCAGUACCAAGCACUCAGGGAGGGUUGAGAUGAUGGAUUGAAAAGGGAUUUGAAAUUUUCAACAAAAGCAGCUGUUAUUUGAUCUUGUUGAGUGUGACAUAUUCCAUCGUCGCCCAAAAGAGUUAUUAUUUUAUUUUGAGAUCUACGAGCUCGAACAUGAUUAUGGAAGAAACCAGUGUUCAAGUCUCCCCAUAAAUCCCAGGAUAAAUGCGCCCUUUGAGACCAAUAGGUUUUUUCUUUUCUACACCAGGCUCUGUAUUGUCUGUAGAAUGCUAAACCCUUAUGGAGGUUUUGUCUAGAGGGAUUAAUUUCAAAAUCAAGCUGAGCUUUAUUAAGACAUUUUAGAGUUUUCUUCUUUUGGUUCCUAAUGUUCCCAAAUGAUUGUUUUUGCUACAAAUUUGCUUCUGUAGUAAAGUUCCUUAAGUUAUUAAGGAGAAUAUCACCUGAAUCUAAAGACAAAUAUGAAUACCAGUUGUCUCCCACCAGAUUAUCAAAAGAAGGUUCUAACAACCAAGCUUUUUCUAAUCUAAGAGCAUUCCCAAUGGUUGCUUUUAGCACAUUUUUAGUGAACUUUUAGUAAAAACACUUGCCAAUGGUAGCUUUUAACACACUUUUCAAGUAAAACACUUUUAACUCCUUGGCAAAUUUGCCAAGGAGUUAAAAGUGCCACGUCGGAAUUCGUACCGCACAAUGGGUGCGGUAUGGCCAUCCGCCAGAUAUAUUGCGGUAUGGUGAUCCGCCAAUGUGUAUGCGGUAUGGAUCCAUCCGCCAAUGUGUAUGCGGUAUGGAUCCAUCCGCCAAUGUGUAUGCGGUAUGGAUCCAUCCGCCAAUGUGUAUGCGGUAUGGAUCCAUCCGCCAAUGUGUAUGCGGUAUGAAUUGAUCCGCCACAAAUAGUGCGGUAUCAAUGUAAGUGGGUAUACAGUAUCAAUCGAUGGGUCAGAGAAGAACCCAUCUCUUUCACCCAUCAAAAUCCCAUCUCUUUCUCCCAUUUUUGAAACCCUCGAAACUUCAUUGUAUUUCAAACUCUCAAAUCUACAUCAAAUAAAACCUAAUUUAUCUAAAUCUCCUAAAAAUAUUUCGAUUAAACUCAAAAUGAAGAGGUAUUUUGGUAAGAAACGUGAUAAAGGGAAGAAAGGUAGUAGUUCAAAUCAAGUUAAUAUUGGAGAUGAAGAUGAUGAUAUUGUUUUACAAGAAAUCCCACAAUUGGAUUUUUCUCAACAAGGUGAUCCUAGUACUUAUCCACCAUUGUGUAAGGAUGCCCACCUCCAUAUCUCGGCUUUAGUUCAACAAAAACAAGUAAGUUUAUAUCAAGGUUUUAAUUUUUCUGUUUAUCGUCUGUGAUUUUAGGCUUGUUGCUCUACAAAUUGUUUUAACUGCACAUUUUUUUUGCUCUCACCAAUAUUAAGCUUUGCCUUAAUAUCAAAUGAAUACCUCUAAAUUAUCAAAUUUAUGUUAAUUCCCUCUUAUAAUUAGUUAAAUAUCAUGAUAAUAUUUCAUAUUAAUUUUGAUUAGGUAGUGACGCAAUACAAAAUAUAUUGUUGCAUUCAAGCGG
rnacentral:lncRNA from 1 species